CCGCGGUCGGAUUACCCAUUUUAGUUCCUAAUUCAUUAGUAAUUUGGACGGCAUCUUUCUUGCCUUUUCAUUUCUUAUCUACACAGUCUCCAUUUUGCUGCUCAUAAUCCAGCCAUACCUCCGAAGUCUACAGCGCCAACACCAUCGAUUUGGCCACACCUUCAUUCUAGAUUUGGCCAUUUUCGAUUUCGCCGCACAUUUGUUCCGACCAUUGCCUCGAAAUUAUGACAGAAAAGCUUUUUGUCGCAGGGAAAGAAAUUUUGGACGAUGUUGAAACCGUUAUGUUGGUGGAGUCCGAUGACGAGAAUGAUCUUGAAAAUACAAAAUUGCUGGGUCAUGGCGUAACAUGAUGGAAUGGUGUGACUGUGACUGUACCUGAGGUGGGUGAUGUGAUCUCGUUAAUUUGUGUGUUUUAAGUAAUAUUCAACGGUUUUUAUCUUGUACUUAUUGUAAUAAUUGUUGACAACGUAGUUUUCAUUUUUGAGGUAUAGAACUGUCUGAGUUUUGUUCUCGAGCAUAAAGGGAAGAAUGGUUGUGGGAGACUCUUCAAGGAAAAUUGGAGGCAAACUCGUAGAGGGG